AGUGAACGCUGGCGGUAGGCCUAACACAUGCAAGUCGAGCGGCAGCACAGUAAGAGCUUGCUCUUACGGGUGGCGAGUGGCGGACGGGUGAGGAAUACAUCGGAAUCUACUUUUUCGUGGGGGAUAACGUAGGGAAACUUACGCUAAUACCGCAUACGACCUACGGGUGAAAGCAGGGGAUCUUCGGACCUUGCGCGAUUGAAUGAGCCGAUGUCGGAUUAGCUAGUUGGCGGGGUAAAGGCCCACCAAGGCGACGAUCCGUAGCUGGUCUGAGAGGAUGAUCAGCCACACUGGAGCUGAGACACGGUCCAGACUCCUACGGGAGGCAGCAGUGGGGAAUAUUGGACAAUGGGCGCAAGCCUGAUCCAGCCAUACCGCGUGGGUGAAGAAGGCCUUCGGGUUGUAAAGCCCUUUUGUUGGGAAAGAAAAGCAGCAGGUUAAUACCCCGCUGUUCUGACGGUACCCAAAGAAUAAGCACCGGCUAACUUCGUG
rnacentral:rRNA from 1 species